AGUGAACGCUGGCGGUAGGCCUAACACAUGCAAGUCGAACGGAAGCACAGUAAGAGUUUGCUCUUACGGGUGGCGAGUGGCGGACGGGUGAGGAAUACAUCGCCAUCUUCUUUUUCGUGGGGGAUAACGUAGGGCCACUUAUGCUAAUACCGCAUAUGACCUACGGGUGAAUGCAGGGGAUAUUCGCACUUUGCGCGAUUGAUUGAGCCGAUGUCGGAUUAGCUAGUUGGCUGGGUAAAGGCCCACCAAGGCGACGAUCCGUAGCUGGUCUGAGAGGAUGAUCAGCCACACUGGAACUGAGACACGGUCCAGACUCCUACGGGAGGCAGCAGUGGGGAAUAUUGGGCAAUGGGCGCAAGCCUGAUCCAGCCAUGCCGCGUGAGUGAAGAAGGCCUUCGGGUUGUAAAGCCCUGUUGUUGGGAAAGAAAAGCAGCAGGUUAAUACCCCGCUGUUCUGACGGUACCCAAAGAAUAAGCACCGGCUAACUUCGUG
rnacentral:rRNA from 1 species